rnacentral:rRNA from 1 species
UGGGGAAUAUUGCACAAUGGGGGAAACCCUGAUGCAGCGACGCCGCGUGAGCGAUGAAGGCUUUCGAGUCGUAAAGCUCUGUCCUAUGGGAAGAUAAUGACGGUACCAUAGAAGAAAGCCCCGGCUAAUUACGUGCCAGCAGCCGCGGUAAUACGUAAGGGGCGAGCGUUGUCCGGAAUUAUUGGGCGUAAAGGGUACGUAGGCGGUCUAUUAAGUCAGGUGUGAAAGCGUGAGGCUUAACCUCAUUAAGCACUUGAAACUGAUAGACUUGAGUGAAGGAGAGGAAAGUGGAAUUCCUAGUGUAGCGGUGAAAUGCGUAGAUAUUAGGAGGAAUACCGGUGGCGAAGGCGACUUUCUGGACUUUUACUGACGCUCAGGUACGAAAGCGUGGGGAGCAAACAGG